AUUUAUAUAUUUUAUAUAAAAUAUUACAUUUUCAUUGUAAAGACACCUUGAGGUUAUAAAUA
rnacentral:tRNA from 1 species